UGAAUAAAACAUGAUAAAAAAUGCGAAAACAGUGUAAAUUUGCAGUGAAAGUGAGAAUUCGUUGGAAUAAUAAUGCAAUUCAAGUAAUUUGGAAAAAGCAAAAAGUGUUCUGGCCAAAAAAGUUAGUUAGCAUCUCUUGUGUAAAAUAACGGUUAAAUUACGAUAUUCUCAUGGCCACUAUCUGUCGCUUCAAGUUACAUACGCAAUUUUGGACAAUUGGCAAAUAAAAAAUAUAAAUUAUGCCUCAAGAAGUUGGAAAUUGAAAAAUUUGUGGGCUUGUGUUGAGCAAAAUAAGUGCUAUAUGUAAAUAAAAGAAAUGAUAAGAAGUGUAUGUUUGCUAAACAUCAGCAGUGGGCUGUUUGGCCAAAAGAAAUCCUACUUUGAAAAGCAGAACAAAAGCUUUAUGGUCACGAACGAAGUUUUAUUUAAGGCGCUAGAGUCAUUUGAAGUUAUAAAAAUGUUAUUUCUGCACAUUUAA